rnacentral:rRNA from 1 species
CCUACGGGAGGCAGCAGUGAGGAAUAUUGGUCAAUGGACGAGAGUCUGAACCAGCCAAGUAGCGUGCAGGAUGACUGCCCUAUGGGUUGUAAACUUCUUUUAUAUGGGAAUAAAACGUUCCACGUGUGGGAUUUUGUAUGUACCAUAUGAAUAAGGAUCGGCUAACUCCGUGCCAGCAGCCGCGGUAAUACGGAGGAUCCGAGCGUUAUCCGGAUUUAUUGGGUUUAAAGGGAGCGUAGGUGGAUUGUUAAGUCAGUUGUGAAAGUUUGCGGCUCAACCGUAAAAUUGCAGUUGAAACUGGCAGUCUUGAGUACAGUAGAGGUAGGCGGAAUGCGUGGUGUAGCGGUGAAAUGCUUAGAUAUCACGAAGAACUCCGAUUGCGAAGGCAGUUCACUGGACUGCAACUGACACUGAGGCUCGAAAGUGUGGGUAUCAAACAGGAUUAGAUACCCGUGUAGUC